rnacentral:tRNA from 1 species
UCCGGCGUAGCUCAGCGGUAGAGCAGUUGACUGUUAAUCAAUUGGUCGUAG